GCUGUCUCUAUAUCAUCUUAGGUACUUCAGUUUUCAUAUAUGAAUCUGCAGAAACCAAUAAUGUAGAAUUCAUUACAGUCUCUGUUUUGCUGUUUCUUUUUGGAAUAAACACUUGGCUUCGGGCUGACAUCCUUCCCAUAUUGCAAAUAGGGAAAAUAUGAUUUGAUAUUGAGACACAGCCAUUAAAAAGCAAAUAUUGGUUGUUAUAUCAAGCUACCAAAGAAUUUCCAUCCAAAGAAACUUAAGAAGAUAAAAAUAUGGGAGGACAAAUAGUUCCACAUCAUAUCUAUCAAAUCCAAUCUAAGACCAUAUGCCCCCUCCUCCCCACCCAACAGAGAUAGGGUUUUACAGAAGGAUGGUAAGCUGUCUUAUGGAGAAUCAGAGCAGCACUUGUUCAAUAGGUACUCCCAAUUCAUCUGUAGAACACAGCACAUUUCAGAAAUAGUUGACUGCCAUUCUGUGAUUGAACAAUGAACUUCAGUUUCAAGCAACUGAUUUCAGUAUUUGUCAUAUUUAACUAGCAAGAAAAUUUUUGAUUGAUUUAAGCUCUCCCUUAUGAGAAACUAACAUAUAACUGAUAUGCAAUGAAGAGCUGUUGACAGCUUGAUCACACCCCAAGACCCCAAGGCCAUGAGAACCCAUUCUUUUGAACUUUAUUUGCCAGUUCUCAUCUACAGACAAACCAUGAGGUUUGGCAUCACCUGUUCAUUUUGUCAAUAAUCCACAUUCAUGGGAAAAUGGUUGCUCUCUUAGAAGAGCAUCCCUCCCUCAAUUCAUUCAACAACAAAUUAUGUGCUUGCAUUAUUUGGAUACUACUACCACAUACUGGAGUUGGUUAAUGUUUCCCAAUUGGGUAGGAGAGUAUGAUGUCCUGCUUAAAGACAUUUCCAAAAUUUUAAAUUGCAUUUGAAGGCAUCUAGUUAACACAGGCCCCCAAUAAACAAGCAGGAUUAGCAUUUUAUGGCCUUCCAGGUUUCAUUGCAAGAUAUUUUUUUAAUCAUCUAAAAGAAGUGAAUAGAUCAGACCACUCUAAUAGUCCAUGCAUGUCAAUAUGCAUAAUAUACCUCCCAGUGAGAACACAACAAGGUUCUCAAUCCACAACAUCAGAUCACACUCACAGACAUAGUAGGUCAUCCUUAAAAACCAAUCUGUGCAGAGCAUGUGUUAGCUGUUAGCUUAAAAGCACACAUACAAAAAGAAGUGAUACAGUACUUGUCAUUUUGGUUCAUAUGCCUCAUAAAAAUGGGUUUUAACACCAAUCAAUGAUAGAGGGGGAAUAAGUGGUUUUCAUCAAGGCACAUACAUUAGCAUAAUCACAAAAACUUCACAUGGCAGAAAGAGCAGAACAGUGGUGUCAAAGGUAAGUAAUUUAGCAGUAGACGCAAAAUUGGAAAGGAGAUUACACAAUGAAACUGAUUACUCACAUCAUCGACAUUGAAGAGCUCCUCAAAUUUCCAAGCCAUCUUCAGAGUGGUUCAACAAACAGAAUCCUAGCCUUCUCAUUUGGCAUCUCUGUGGAGUACCUAGCUCCAGUUAUAACAGUCCAGAUAACAUGUCACUAAACUCAUGCUUUUAUAAGGAAAGAAACAAUCAAAUAAGUUGGUACUUGCAUCCAAAAAAAUGAAAGACCUAACAUCAGACCUUGGAAGUUGUAACCUCAUUAAAUUGCACUUGUGCCUAUGGGAAAAAAA
rnacentral:lncRNA from 1 species